GACGAACCGUCCGAACGUUAUUCGGAAUCACUGGGCUUAAAGGGCGCGUAGGCGGAUAUCUAAGUUGGGGGUGAAAUCCCGGGGCUCAACCUCGGAAUUGCCUUCAAAACUGGAUAUCUUGAGUUCGGGAGAGGUGAGUGGAACUCCGAGUGUAGAGGUGAAAUUCGUAGAUAUUCGGAAGAACACCAGUGGCGAAGGCGACUCACUGGCCCGAUACUGACGCUGAGGCACGAAAGCGUGGGGAGCAAACAGG
rnacentral:rRNA from 1 species